rnacentral:pre_miRNA from 1 species
ACUUGGGCCAAGGGAAUGCAAACUGUUCGAAAAGCAUUGCAAAAAGUUUGUUCGUUUGGCUUAAGUUA